CGCGCUGCGUGACGUGUCCGGCUGCCGGCGCGGCGGCGGCAAGCGGGCUGUGACGCCGGCGCGGCGGUGCGGGGGCUCCCCUCGGCGCGCGCGGCUCCCGGCCCAGGAUGCGCCGAGUGUGCGCCGUCUUCGGGGGCUCGCGCGGCAUCGGCAGGGCCGUGGCGCAGCUCCUGGCGCAGAAGGGCUACCGCCUGGCCGUCGUCGCCAGGAACCUGGAGGCGGCCGGAGCCGCCGCCGGGGCCCUGGGCGGAGAUCAUUUGGCAUUUAGCUGUGAUGUUGCCAAAGAACAUGAAGUUCAAAGUACAUUUGAAGAGAUUGAAAAAAAUUUGGGUCGAGUUAAUUUCUUGGUAAAUGCAGCUGGAAUUAACAGGGAUAGCCUUUUAGUAAGAACAGAAACUGAGGAUAUGAUAUCCCAGCUUCAUACUAACCUUCUGGGUUCCAUGCUGACCUGUAAAGCUGCUGUGAAGAGUAUGAUUCAGCAACAGAGAGGGUCGAUUGUUAAUGUCGGAAGUGUUAUUGGUUUAAAAGGCAACUCUGGCCAGACUGUGUACAGUGCCAGUAAAGGAGGCUUGGUUGGGUUUUCACGUGCUCUUGCUAAAGAAGUAGCAAGAAAGAAAAUUAGAGUGAAUGUAGUUGCACCAGGAUUUGUUCAUACAGAAAUGACAAAAGACUUGAAGGAAGAACAUUUAAAGAAAAGUAUCCCUCUGGGGAGGUUUGGGGAACCUGCUGACGUGGCCCAGGCGGUGGUGUUUCUUCUAGAAUCUCCAUGCCUGCUCCACGGGCUAAAGCUGGGAGACGAGUAGACGGGCCUCUUCCCGACGACGCGGGUACUUUCAGCAGCCGCCUCUGGAGUGGGUGACGCAUGUGAGCCCUUAAAACCCUUUCUCAGAUGGCUGUAGAGCUGUGGGGCCUCUGCAUGGAAGGCCUGUUGUUGGCUUUCAAAGUUUACUGGUUCCGACUUAAAACCAUCAAGUCUGGUCAGAGUCAACUCAAUCAAUCAAGCUGGUGCAGAAUCACAUGCAGUCAAGAAUCAGUGUUUGCCGAAAUGCCAUCACAACACUUGGAACCCAGCACCUUCUACAGUGAGGUCUCAGGGGGCAGGGAGGUGGGCUAUUUUUCUGUCCACCCUAUCUGGUGCCACUGAAAAGAAAACCCUGUGGCACACACCUGCUGUGGCCGAGUCCCUGUGCCCCCCGAGCAGACUAGAUCUGCAGGCAGUCUCUCACGCACGCACUCUCGCAGUCGCAGUCUGUUUUCAACUUGCUCCACACAUUGAACGUCUCCAGCUGCUACAGACCUCAGACAUGCUGAGGUUCCCGGGGCACCUGUGUGCCAGACUCCCAGCUGACCCUGGAUUCCCUGACUUUUGAAUGGCAGUGUUUUUUCACUUACAUUUUAGGCUAAUCCUGAAGCCCACCAAGGAGAAGCCUGUCCUUUACCAGGUCCCCUGCCCCUUCUGUGGUGUCUGAGUGGCAGCUUCCUUCCCCUGCCCCUUUCCAAACCUGCUUCCUCCAGAUACGGUGCACCUUCUGUGGAAUGGACUGUAAUACAGCUCUGCUUUGCACAGAAUUCUUUAUAUUAUUUAUAUUUAAGUUAGCCUCCUCAUAUGGUUUGUAAAUAAGCUUCCUGCCAAGGUAGCAUGAACAGAAAAUCCUACACAUAAAGAAAAGAGGUUAAAAGAACUAAGACACUAACCUGUUGGAGAACCCUUGGUGUUAAUAAAAUUUAAGGCUAGUAAUUCCUUUCUCCUGAAUUAGACAGUCUGCCAAGACAAGGCGUUUGCUUGGGUUUCUGUCAUUCUGCUUGCUUCUCACCCUGUGUAUUGCCCUCGGCCAGCAGCGGUGGUCUGCACGCGAUGCCAGUCCGGCGCAGCUGCCGCCUCGGGAUCGUUCCCCGGAAACACGCGACGAACACCAACAGCCAGUGGCUAAAGGCACGUCAGAUCAUGGAAUGCUAUCAAUAGGAUGAGUUUCUGAAAGUUGGAUGCAUGUACACAAAGACACACGCGCACACGCAGACCUACUGCUGAGCUGCGUAAGCUGGGUUAGCAGCAAGACACUGAGCCACAGCAAGGACACACGCCUCGAGUGUGUUAGGAACCGCGGCAGGUGCACACUGGAGGAAGGGUUAGGUGGUCGUCCGCGGGACAUGGGACAAGGAACUGAGAAAAACCAGGCCAGGCCUUUGCCAGCUGUUAGCCAUAAGGACGCCUGGGUAAGGAAGCCAGCUGGCUAGCCAGUCAUGUGAGAGGAAUCAACAUGCGUAUUUUGCUAAUAAUGCAAAGUUCCUGAAGGUACUUGGGUGUUUGUUCUCCUGGUGUAGUUCACUAUUAAUGUUGAGAAACUAUAAAUAGAAAGAGAAAGAGCAACAUGAAAUUUUUAGCAAAUAAAACAAGGUCAUAUAAAAGUGACGUGACUUGCUGUCCAGAGUCUCAGUCGAUAAAUGCAGCGAGGCAAUAUGGGGUGGGAUCGGGAUAGGAUGGCACUCACUGUGAACAUCCAGCCUGGCGGUACAGGAUGCGAUCCCUGCUUCGUUCUUGGCCGACACCGUGUACCACCCGGCAUCCUCCCGCGUGGCCCCCUGGAUGAGCAGGCAGAGGGAGCCGCGGCUGUCCUGGUGCAUGCUGCAGGGAAGACAGGGCCGUCUGGGGCUCACUUUGCAAAAGGGGCCCUGCACACCAAGUGUCAUUUGUACUGAUCGUUAGAAACAGAACUGUGCAAGUAGCUGAUAUUCGGGUCAUACUUACUCUGGAGGCGAGCUCCACUAAGGAGCCUGGGGGAGAAAGGCAGAUGUCAAGCGGUUGAAUGAACUGUACACUGAAUUUCUAUUUGAGGACCAGCCUUUACAAAAACCACUGAAUAGUUUCUCUACCACCAGUGAAGCGAAUGAAUUUACCUUUAGAGGUGAAGCACAUUCUGACUUAAGUCUAAUGGUGGUUUUUUUAAGUGUUUGUCACACGCCGGUGCACCUUCCAAAACCCUAACGGGACAUUAGGGUAAAGAGGGGUUUUGUCUUUGACACAGCAGCAGCUCUUAGAUGCACAGCUGCGCCGGCUCUUGGGCAUCUUGUUUAUCAGCAGGGCCUCUGGAGCAGGCGUGGGUCAGGGCAGGUCACUAUGUGCUCACCUCACGCGGUCAGUGCUCUGGGUGAGUGACUCGUUUUCUUUCUUCCAAAAUAUCUGCGGCGGAGGCACUCCCAACACACGGCACUCCAGUCGCACUGGGUACCCGUCAGCAACGCCUGUGUUCUGCAGCUUCUCAAUGAACACAGGGGGUUUGUGCGCUUCUUUAGCUGGGGAAACAUGAGAUGAAUUAUCUGUCGGUGCCACACAAACGGAGCUAAAAGAAGAAUCCAGGAGGUUUUAGAGCUGCUGCUCCAUGGAUCUUUUACUUUACAGUGCCAUUUUUCACUUCAUGCACGGAAACAAUUUCAGAGAAAGAACAAGGCUCAUUGUCUCCUGAGCCACCCACAGUGUCUGAGGACUGGCAUCUUCCCCCCCCCCGCCCCAGGGGGCAGAGCAGAAGAGCAGGAGAGCAGGAGAGGUGAACAAGGGAGAAAAAGGAUUCAGAGACGAGCCUACCGGCAACUACCAGCUCCAGGCUGAAUGAGUUCUGUCCCGCUCGGCUGGUGGCGGUGCACGUGUAGAUGCCAGCGUCGCGCGAUGUGACCGGCUCUAUGAUCAGCGAGUGCACCCCGUUCUCACGCACGAGCAUCUUGUGGGCGCUGUCGGGGCAGAUGGGCUUCCCGUCGAGCUGCCAGCUCAGCUCCGGGGUUGGUAACCCACUGACCUAAGCCAGAAAGGAAACAUGUAAAUUUUUCUAGUAUUAAAACCAUGAAACAAUUAACAGCUAA